rnacentral:rRNA from 1 species
UACGGAGGGGGCUAGCGUUGUUCGGAAUUACUGGGCGUAAAGCGCGCGUAGGCGGACCUGCAAGUCGGGGGUGAAAGCCCGAGGCUCAACCUCGGAACUGCCUUCGAUACUGCGGGUCUCGAGUCCGGGAGAGGUGAGUGGAAUUCCUAGUGUAGAGGUGAAAUUCGUAGAUAUUCGGAAGAACACCAGUGGCGAAGGCGGCAUACUGGCCCAUUACUGACGCUGAGGCUCGAAAGCGUGGGGAGCAAACAGG